GUAGGUGAACCUGCGGAAGGAUCAUUAUCACGUAUCCACGUAUAAACCAACCGUGAACCGUUUGCCUUUGGAAGUGAAGCUGAAUAGUGCAGUUCAUUGUGUGGUUUCGAACGGCUAUUCGCCUUGGGAUCUAUCUCAUAACCUGGCUUUACUUCUGAAGCGUAUUUCAAAUCACACUUUUAAAACCUUUUAUUAACCACUUGAACCAAACCUUUGUCUUAUUUUGUACUGAACUGUUUCUUACUCUGCCUAACCGGCGGAGAAGAAAUACUUUACGAAACAAAAGAACAACUCUUAGCAACGGAUAUCUUGGUUCUC
rnacentral:misc_RNA from 1 species